rnacentral:rRNA from 1 species
CCUACGGGUGGCUGCAGUGAGGAAUAUUGGGCAAUGGGCGCGAGACUGACCCAGCAACGCCGCGUGAAGGAAGAAGGCUUUCAGGAUGGAAACUUCUUUUGUCCGGGAAGAGUAGAAGACGGUACGUGACGAAUAAGCCACGGCUAACUACAUGCCAGCAGCCGCGGUAAUACGUAGUUGGCAAGCGUUGUCCGGAUUUACUGGGUGUAACGGGCGUGUAGCCGGGUUGACAAGUCAGAUGUGAAAUCCUGCGGCUUAACCGCAGAACUGCAUUUGAAACUGUUGAUCUUGAGUAAUGGAGAGGCAGAUGGAAUGCGUAGUGUAGCGGUGAAAUGCGUAGAUAUCAGGAAGAACACCAGUGGCGAAGGCGGUCUGCUGGACAGCAACUGACGGUGAGGCGCGAAAGCGUGGGGAGCGAACAGGAUUAGAUACCCUAGUAGUC